rnacentral:rRNA from 1 species
UACGUAGGGUGCAAGCGUUAAUCGGAAUUACUGGGCGUAAAGCGUGCGCAGGCGGCUUUGCAAGACAGAUGUGAAAUCCCCGGGCUCAACCUGGGAACUGCAUUUGUGACUGCAUGGCUGGAGUGCGGCAGAGGGGGAUGGAAUUCCGCGUGUAGCAGUGAAAUGCGUAGAUAUGCGGAGGAACACCGAUGGCGAAGGCAAUCCCCUGGGCCUGCACUGACGCCCAUGCACGAAAGCGUGGGGAGCAAACAGGG